rnacentral:rRNA from 1 species
UGGGGAAUAUUGGACAAUGGGCGAAAGCCUGAUCCAGCCAUGCCGCGUGUGUGAAGAAGGUCUUCGGAUUGUAAAGCACUUUAAGUUGGGAGGAAGGGCAGUAAGCGAAUACCUUGCUGUUUUGACGUUACCGACAGAAUAAGCACCGGCUAACUCUGUGCCAGCAGCCGCGGUAAUACAGAGGGUGCAAGCGUUAAUCGGAAUGACUGGGCGUAAAGCGCGCGUAGGUGGUUCGUUAAGUUGAAUGUGAAAGCCCCGGGCUCAACCUGGGAAGUGCAACCAAAACUGGCGAGCUAGAGGAGGGCAGAGGGUGGUGGAAUUUCCUGUGUAGCGGUGAAAUGCGUAGAUAUAGGAAAGAACACCAGUGGCGAAGGCGACCACCUGGGCUCAUACUGACACUGAGGUGCGAAAGCGUGGGGAGCAAACAGG